rnacentral:rRNA from 1 species
GUGGAGCGGUGAAAGGCUCAGUAACGGGCGAUUUAUUUGUUCUCCUGGGACGGACAACAUCGGGAAACUGAUGGGAAAACGUCUAAGUUGCAGUUAAAUGAUUGUGACGUAAACCAUUGUGUGCAGGAGAGUAAGAUGCCAUCCUAUCAGUUAGUAAGUAGGGUAAGGGCCUACUUAGACGAAGACGGGUACGGGGAAUGAGGGUUUGAUUCCGGAGAGGGAGCCUGAGAGACGGCUACCAGGACCAAGGUCAGCAGCAGGCGCGAAAAUUAUCGAAGCCCGCCUAGGGGCGAUAGUGAGGAGACGUGUAUAACGAAGUACGUGUAAAGAACGUGCUAAUAACUGGAGGUCAAGUCUGGUGCCAGCAUCCGCGGUAAUUCCAGCUCCAGGGGUGUCUAUGAUGAUUGCUGCGAUUAAAAAGUCCGUAGUCAAUCUGACUGGCUGGCCUGCAAUGUGAUUGAUUAAAGAACGAGCAGGGUUAGGAAAGCAGAGAAUUAGGAGCGACCGAGGGCUAGAGUAUUGAAUGGCGAGAGGUGAAAUUUGAUGACCCAUUCAGGAGUGACAAAGGCGAAGGCACUAGUCAAGGGCGAAUCCGAUGAUCAAGGACGUAGGCUAGAGUUUCGAAAACGAUUAGAGACCGGAGUAGUUCUAGCAGUAAACUAUGCCGACGCCGUGGUAUCAGAAUUGGUAUUGCGGAAGAGAAAUCAAGUAAGGCUUUGGGGAGAGUACGCGCGCAAGCGAUAAAUUUAAAGGAAAUUGACGGAGGAACACCACAAGGAGUGGAGUGUGCGGCUUAAUUUGACUCAACGCGGGACAGCUUACCAA